rnacentral:lncRNA from 1 species
CUUAUUGGAAUUUACCACUCAUUCUUCUUUUUCUUCUUUUUUUUCAUUAAGCGGUGACUAAUUACUUGCUUCAAUCUAUGCACGUACUUCAGUCUCCGGUGGGUAGUAAUCUCAUUGGCAAUCACGUUUUGUUUCUAUAUUAUUUAAAGGGGCACCCUUCAUUGCGAGACGUGUUCGUGUUACAUGAAAUAUAGGCCUGAAUAAUUCCUGAAAGUUUUUCUACAUAUUUUUACAGGAACAAAAAUGCGAGAUCUACUAGAAAACGUAUUUUGUCAACUAGGGUUUGAAAAGGUGAUCUUUCCAUUAAAGAAUCUUCGGGAACUAAAGAAAACCUCUAAUUAGUGUUUUACAG